AAACGUGCUUGACUGUACAAUUAGAGCUGUCAUUUAGAAGGUCAAAAGGAAAGAAGUUAGGGACACAAGACGCAGUAGAGGAGGAAUCCAAAAUCGCCAUGGCAACCCGCGCGCCGCCGCAGUCCUCGUCGUCGUCGACCGGAUCCGUGACCGUAACGGUCGACCCCUCCCCCUCUUCGUCCUCCGCCCCGCCCCCGCAGCCUUCGGAGGUGGUGGUGCUGCGGCUGGAGCGGCGGGCGAAGAAGAAAGUGACGUGGAAGGAGGGGACGGUGGACAACGAGUGCCUCGGCCGCAAGAGCUCCAAGAAGUGCUGCAUCUUCCAUAAGGAGGUCCCCUUCGACGAGGACUGCAGCGACGACGAGGCCCCCAGCGGCGGCGGCGGCGGCGGCUGCUCGUCCUCCUCCCACGACCACCACCACUGAUCUCCAUGCGGGGAUGGUUGCGAACUGGGGCUUCUUGAUCUCGUUAGGUAUUGAGAGAGAAUUGAUGCUUCUCUCCAAUUCGCUGUGAUGUAUUUUGUGAUCUCAUGCCGCUAGAUGAGUGGAAAUGGGAAAUCCGUGCUCAAUUUUGAGGGUAACAUUUCUGUAUCGGUGCUUGAGGACCAAUCAGGGCAAUCAUUAGGCAGCUUUGAUGGGCCGCUUCAUCGAUACUUGAAGUGUUAUUGGUUAUCCUACCAUGGGAAACUUGACUUCUUUGUGUCAAACUUUAGGUGAAAAGUUACUGCUCUGUUUCAGAGUCUGCUACAGAGAACCAUUGUGCCAGAUAUUUUGUCAGGCUGCAACUUCUAUGGAUCGCGGUAUUGUUUUGUGCGUCCAAUUACCUGAGAUAUAUAGUGUGCUCUUCCUGUUAUCAUUGUCAUGGUUUGAUCAUCUCGAAGUUACCAAGUCUGUUCUUCUGGGUUAUUCAUUGUAUUCACACCUUAUAACGGCAUGCUGUUUGUUAAUGAUGAAGUGAUGUUGCUUA